rnacentral:rRNA from 1 species
GACAGAGGGUGCAAACGUUGUUCGGAAUUACUGGGCGUAAAGCGCGUGUAGGCGGCCCUGCAAGUCGGAUGUGAAAUCCCACGGCUCAACCGUGGAAGUGCAUUCGAAACUGCAGGGCUAGAGUCCUGGAGAGGAAGGUGGAAUGCUUGGUGUAGAGGUGAAAUUCGUAGAUAUCUGGAGGAACACCGGUGGCGAAGGCGGCAUCCUGGACCGGUAUUGACGCUGAGGCGCGAAAGCUAGGGGAGCAAACGGG